rnacentral:rRNA from 1 species
CUUCGGGGGGCUGCAGUGGGGAAUAUUGGACAAUGGGGGAAACCCUGAUCCAGCAAUGCCGCGUGUGUGAAGAAGGCCUGCGGGUUGUAAAGCACUUUCGGUUGGGAGGACUGCUUCUAGCACUAAUAUUGUUGGAAGUUGACGUUACCUUCAGAAGAAGCACCGGCUAACUCCGUGCCAGCAGCCGCGGUAAUACGGAGGGUGCAAGCGUUAAUCGGAAUUACUGGGCGUAAAGCGCGCGUAGGCGGCUAGAUCAGUCGGGUGUGAAAGCCCCGGGCUUAACCUGGGAACUGCAUCCGAUACUGUCUAGCUUGAGUACAGGAGAGGAGAGUGGAAUUCCACAUGUAGCGGUGAAAUGCGUAGAUAUGUGGAGGAACACCAAUGGCGAAGGCAGCUCUCUGGCCUGAUACUGACGCUGAGGUGCGAAAGCGUGGGGAGCGAACAGGAUUAGAUACCCGCGUAGUC